GGAAUGUGGCCCAGUGGCAAAGCCCAUGUUUUGCAUACCGAAGAUCCCAAGUUCAAUCCCUGGCAUCUCCA